CCCCAAACAAAAUGUCCACCCCUCCAAAAAAAUUUUCAACCCCCCCCCCCCAAUAUUCGGCAUAAUAAAAAAUAAUUAAAUAAUCCACUCCAACGUGCAGAGUGUUGAUGAUACAAAAUAAACGUAGGAGUACACUCAAAUGGAGCAAUUGUAAAGUUUUGAAACUCUAUUAUCUCCCCUGAAUAGAGUUUGCAGUGCCUUGUCAUGCAAAUAGCUUGCUUGCAAGGAACGUUUGGAAUUUUUACAAACAUUAUUUUUCGUUUUUAAUUCUUUUAGGUUUUUAAUUCUUUUUAAUUUUUUAAUUCGUUUAUAAAAGUAAAAGCAUAUUGUGUAUUGGCCUAUUGGGUUUACACUUUUACAGGUUCAUUUAACUUUAACUCUCUCAAGUCUCAACAGACAAUCGGACACAGGGCCGUAGCGAGGGGGUGUUGGGGGGGGGGGGUGGUUAACCCCCCAACUUUUGUAGAAUUAACAUAUUUGGAAAAUCGGGUUGGCCAUUCGGAAAAUUACGGCAAUAAUAGUAUAACAAAAUUUUAAUUGUUUAAUUAAACAGAAAAAAUAUUAUAAUAUUAUAAUCAGUAUAAAAUGAUUUACGAAAUCACGGCAUUUACAUGGAUAACGUUUAACAAAUCG